UUUUGUGGAUUUUUGUGAAGUUUGUUUGUGCUGUACUUUGAUGGAGACGUUUAUUCCGAGAAUGACUUUACUUCGUUGCUCGGGUUCGACGUGAAGGAAGAUUUGAAGUACUGAACUUACGCACGCACGAGAAAAUUGUCGUGCUGGUCGUGCAAUGAAAUGCGUACGAGCGAAGAGAGACGGCGCUGGAAGAAUAUAUAUAGCGAGUUUGUACAGUGCGAGUGGGGAGUCGCGUCUACGGCUAUAAAUACUCGUAAGCAGAGCUACACAGAGCCCACGCGUUACUGCUUGCGCCAGACCAUCCGCCGCCGCCGCCGCCGCCGCUGGGCCAUCCACCGCCACCGCCGCUACUCCAGCCGGACGAGUGGGAAGCAGGCCUUGACGAGACCAACGCCAAGGCCGACGGCACCGCCGAUAGCCAGGGCCUUCUUGGCUAGGAUAGCCUUCUUCAGCAGAAGGAAUCUCUUU